UUUUAUGGAGAGUUUGAUCCUGGCUCAGGACGAACGCUGGCGGCGUGCCUAAUACAUGCAAGUCGAGCGAACAGAUAAGGAGCUUGCUCCUUUGACGUUAGCGGCGGACGGGUGAGUAACACGUGGGCAACCUACCUUAUAGUUUGGGAUAACUCCGGGAAACCGGGGCUAAUACCGAAUAAUCUAUUUCACUUCAUGGUGAAAUACUGAAAGACGGUUUCGGCUGUCGCUAUAAGAUGGGC
rnacentral:rRNA from 1 species